rnacentral:rRNA from 1 species
CCUGUUGGGGGGGUAAUGGCCUCCCAAAGCUGCGAUCGGUCGCUGGUCUGAGAGGACGAUCAGCCACACUGGGAUUGAGAACGGCCCAGACUCCUACGGGGGGCAGCAGUGAGGAAUUUUCGUCAAUGGGGGCAACCCUGAACGAGCAACGCCGCGUGCAGGAAGACGGUUUUCGGAUCGUAAACUGCUUUUCCCAGGGAAGAGAAGGGACGGUACCUGGGGAACAAGCCCCGGCUAACUACGUGCCAGCAGCCGCGGUAAUACGUAGGGGGCAAGCGUUGUCCGGAGUUACUGGGCGUAAAGCGCACGCAGGCGGUGCUCUGCGUUCUCACUGACAGUCGUCGGCGCAACUGACGAAGGCGUGGGAAGACGAGAGCACUUGAGGGCUUCAGAGGGACACGGAAUUCCGGGUGGAGUGGUGAAAUGCGUAGAUAUCCGGAGGAACACCAACAGCGAAGGCAGUGUCCUGGGAAGUGUCUGACGCUCAGGUGCGAAAGCCAGGGGAGCGAACGGGAUUAGAUACCCCGGUAGUCCUGGCCGUAAACGAUGACCACUAGACGUGGGAGGUAUCGACCCCUUCCGUGUCGGAGCUAACGCGGUAAGUGGUCCGCCUGGGGAGUACGGUCGCAAGAUUAAAACUCAAAGGAAUUGACG